rnacentral:lncRNA from 1 species
GUUGCUGGUGAAGGACCCUCAUAUAUAUAAGCCGUGUGAGGACGCUUAUUCGGCCUCUGGUUGGCGUGUCUACACGACAGGCUGGAUGUUGGGCUGCUUGUAUGCGGAGUGUUCUUAAUUUGAUACAAUUUGAAUUUGAAAAAGAAUGAGGGAAAGGUAAAGGUAAUACACGUGGAACCCCAUUUUAAGUUUGGGACCAUGUAGUAGGCUUUAGGCUAAACGCAGCAGUAUUUGCGGCUCUUCCGUGCUCAGCACGUGGCGUCAGAACUACUGUAGUGACGCUAGCAGAGUUUUCCGAGCCUGCUGAUACUACAGUUGGAGAUGGCGGAAUAAGUGAGUAUUUAUUAAAUUAUGAUUAAGUGCUUUGGUUUAAUCAUAAUUCCAUAACACUUGAGCACGUUACACAUCAUAACGCAUACUUGCCCUUUCCUUCAGGAUCACACCAGUCAUUGCUGUAGAACGAUCAGAGUGAAGAGUUCAGAUAUCAGGAGCUAAGGUGAGUGUUGGGAUGGAACGCCACUAAAGGAUAUAAUGUAAAAAAAAAAAAAAAACCCAAUGCAACAAUGAUGAUUCAUAAGACUAGAGUCUCUGAUUAUACAAUGAAGCUCUUUCACAGUGCACUGAACAUGCAGAGUACUGAUUUAUUAGUACAAACUGCAGUGUUUAGAAUUGUUUCUAAUAGUUUUCUCUGUACACUGCAGGUGUUGAAACGUGGCAGACGACAACGAGAGCGCAAUUCAGGGAUUGUGCCAAAAAUGGAUGUAGAUUGAUCGAAAUGAAGCGCUGAGUGUGCAGCCACAAUGUGAUGGUGUUGACGCAUGGCAGAAGUUGGCAGAGCCCUUCAGGGUAUGACUGACAGCCUGGCUGGACAACAUCUAUGCCCAUCGCAGGGACCAGGUAGGUAUAGCUGUGAACAAUGUUGCUUUGCAGUUUUAAUUUCAGUCUGUCAUUUGAGCAUUAUGUUACACUUGAAAAAUAAGUUCUCACAUUUGGAUAAACACUACACUUUAAGACAAAAGUCUAAGCGUAAUGACUUAAUAUUGUGCCAUAUGCUGACGUUGAUUGCCUGUCACUGUGAAGGUGCUUACUUUCUUAAAUAAAGACUUGGUUCUUCUCUGUUCAGAUAUUCAUGUAUUCACC